rnacentral:rRNA from 1 species
UACGGAGGGUGCGAGCGUUGUUCGGAAUCACUGGGCGUAAAGGGCGUGUAGGCGGUCCGCUAAGUCUGAUGUGAAAGCCCGGGGCUCACCCCCGGAAGUGCAUUGGAAACUGGCGGACUCGAGUCCCGGAGAGGAGAGUGGAAUUCCUGGUGUAGCGGUGAAAUGCGUAGAUAUCAGGAGGAAUACCGGUGGCGAAAGCGACUCUCUGGACGGUAACUGACGCUGAGGCACGAAAGCGUGGGGAGCAAACAGG